rnacentral:tRNA from 1 species
GAGGGUAUAGCUCAGUGGUAGAGCAUGUACUUAGCGUGCAUGAAGUCAUGGGUUCAAUUCCCAGUACCGUCA